CGUAGGAGGCAAACGUUAUCCGGAUUUACUGGGCGUAAAGCGCGUGUAGGUGGUACUGUAAGUAGGGCGUGAAAGCUCCUGGCUCAACUGGGAGAGGCCGUUCUAAACUACAGAACUAGAGGAUGGUAGAGGGAGGUGGAAUUCCAGGUGUAGCGGUGGAAUGCGCAGAUAUCUGGAGGAACACCGGUGGCGAAGGCGGCCUCCUGGACCAUUCCUGACACUCAGACGCGAAAGCUAGGGUAGCAAACGGGAUUAGAGACCCCGGUAGUCCUAGCCCUAAACGAUGUAGACUAGGCGUCGGAAGCUUAAUCGCCUUCGGUGUCCAAGCUAACGCGAUAAGUCUACCGCCUGGGGACUACGGCCGCAAGGUUAAAACUCAAAGGAAUUGACGGGUCCCCGCACAAGCAGCGGAGCGUGUGGUUUAAUUCGUUGCUACACGAAGAACCUUACCUGGGUUUGACAUAGCAGUGGUAGGGAAGCGAAAGCGGACCGACCCUUCGGGGAGCUGUUACAGGUGUCGCAUGGCUGUCGUCAGCUCGUGUCGUGAGAUGUUCGGUUAAGUCCGCUAACGAGCGCAACCCGCGUUGUGUGUUACAAGUGUCACACAAUACCGCCGGUAUUAAGUCGGAGGAAGGUGCGGAUGACGUCAAGUCAGCAUGACCUUUAUAUCCAGGGCUACACACGCUACAAUGGUCAGCACAAUAGGUUGCCAAGUCGUGAGACGGAGCCAAUCCUCCAAAGCUGCCUCAGUUCAGAUUGCAGGCUGCAACUCGCCUGCAUGAAGUUGGAGUUGCUAGUAACCGCAGGUCAGCUAUACUGCGGUGAAUACGUUCCCGGGGAUU
rnacentral:rRNA from 1 species